GGAUGAACGCUGGCGGCGUGCCUAACACAUGCUUUUCGAACGAAGCACCUUGAUUUCCUCGGAUUGAUAGGUGACUGAGUGGCGGACGGGUGAGUAACGCGUGGGUAACCUGCCUCAUACAGGGGGAUAACAGUUAGAAAUGGCUGCUAAUACCGCAUAAGCGCACAGUACCGCAUGGUACCGUGUGAAAAACUCCGGUGGUAUGAGAUGGACCCGCGUCUGAUUAGCUAGUUGGUAAGGUAACGGCUUACCAAGGCGACGAUCAGUAGCCGGCCUGAGAGGGUGAUCGGCCACAUUGGGACUGAGACACGGCCCAAACUCCUACGGGAGGCAGCAGUGGGGAAUAUUGCACAAUGGGGGAAACCCUGAUGCAGCAACGCCGCGUGAAGGAUGACCUAUUUCGGUAUGUAAACUUCUAUCAGCAAGGAAGAUGAUGACGGUACUUGACUAACAAGCCCCGGCUAACUACGUGCCAGCAGCCGCGGUAAUACGUAGGGGGCAAGCGUUAUCCGGAUUUACUGGGUGUAAAGGGAGCGUAGGCGGCCAUGCAAGUCAGAAGUGAAAAGCCCGGGGCUCAACCCCGGGGACUGCUUUUGAAACUGUAGGGUUAGAUUGCGGGAGAGGUAAGGGGAUUUCCUAGUGUAGCGAUGAAAUGCGUAGAUAUUAGGAGGAACACCAGUGGCGAAGGCGGCUUGCUGGACGGUAACUGACGCUGAGGCGCGAAAGCGUGGGGAGCAAACAGGAUUAGAUACCCUGGUAGUCCACGCUGUAAACGAUGAAUACUAGGUGUGGGAGGACUGACCCCUUCCGUGCCGCAGUUAACACAAUAAGUAUUCCACCUGGGGAGUACGACCGCAAGGUUGAAACUCAAAGGAAUUGACGGGGGCCCGCACAAGCAGUGGAUUAUGUGGUUUAAUUCGACGCAACGCGAAGAACCUUACCAGGACUUGACAUCCAACUAACGAAGCAGAGAUGCAUUAGGUGCCCUUCGGGGAAAGUUGAGACAGGUGGUGCAUGGUUGUCGUCAGCUCGUGUCGUGAGAUGUUGGGUUAAGUCCCGCAACGAGCGCAACCCCUAUCUUCAGUAGCCAGCAUAUAAGGUGGGCACUCUGGAGAGACUGCCCGGGAUAACCGGGAGGAAGGCGGGGAUGACGUCAAAUCAUCAUGCCCCUUAUGACCAGGGCUACACACGUGCUACAAUGGCGUAAACAAAGGGAAGCGACCCUGUGAGGGUAAGCAAAUCUCAAAAAUAACGUCUCAGUUCGGAUUGUAGUCUGCAACUCGACUACAUGAAGCUGGAAUCAAUAGUAAUCGCGAAUCAGAAUGUCGCGGUGAAUA
rnacentral:rRNA from 1 species